UUUUACGAUCAUUCUCUACUAUUAUCAACAUGACAACUUCGACUACCCGUGUUUGCUGUUUGUGGAGGGAUCUGGGCGCGACGUGAGAGAAAAGAUGACGUAUGCGGCCUGCUUGGACCCCCUGUUCAAAGCUACCAAGGCGCAAAGGAUGCUGCGGGUUGAAAAAGUGGAAGAGAUUACGGCGGAAACAUUUGCAAAGGCUUUCCGUUAAUAAUUCAUCGCAGUUCGUAAAUUCUGUCCAUUUGACUGCCAUUGAUUGGAUGGAUCCGAGAUUAAAUAUGUCUGCUACUCUGGAACCAAA